GCUAAGGAAGUGCCAAGGAACCCAGGAAGCAGGCUCCGACCUUUGAUUUGGAAUGCAGGCAAGAUGUCCAGACUGAGAUCAAGGCGCCUCUCUGAGCCCAUCAUCCUUUGCCCAUUUUAGUCUAGGAGGAAGCUCAGUGUAGAAGCAAGUCUGGGCUUUGGCAUCACAGGGACCUGAGUCCAAAUCCUGGCUCAGCCACUUACCAGCUGGGGGACUUAUAAUAAGAAGAAUCAGGACAUCUGCUGACUCAUUUCUGCCUGAGAAGAAAAGAAGAGAAGCGAGGGAUGAUGGGGAGAAAGCGCGAGGUCUGACUUUCCCCUGCUGCCCAGCCUUCCUGGGCCGCCAAGGCUCGGAUCUGGUCUGCCGACAUCCACCUCCUCCCCAGCCUGACCCCGACCUCGCCCCCACACAGCCUCAACUCCUGUUGAGCCACCUGUUCUGCAGGACACAGGAACGACCAUCAGCAAGGGGGGAUCAAGCACACAGGGAUUCCCAGGACAGACUUCAGGGCUUGACAGCCCAAGGACUAGCGUUAACCACAAACCUUGAGAAGUUCAGAGAAAAUCCACUAGAGGGCACUGCAGCACUGCCCAGAAAAGACCAUCCCAGGACUGCUUUUUCACAUUCAACUAGCAAGCAAGCACUAUUGUAUUGAGCACCUGCAUUGAGCCCUGGUUAAAUGCUGAGAUACAGGGCACAGGUGCCACCCACAGUUGAAUUGGGGAGGCAGGGAGGGAAGUCAGAGCCCAUGAGGUGGGAGGUGGGUGGGGAGCCCAUAAGGAGGUGGGUGAGGAAGUGGUACCCAGGCAGGGUCAGUCUGUGACUCUUUCCUUCUUCUGGGGACUUAACUAUAAGACACACACAUGCAGACAACACAGAAGCGACACACAUACAUGCACACGUCAUACAUACGAACAGCACACAUACACAUAUGUACACACCAUGCAGACCACAGCCACACACCUGCAAUCCUGGGCUGUGGGCGUCUGUGAGGAGGGGCUGUGGGCAGACGCCCAGCUACGGAGGAGCUUGGCUGCAGACCCCAAGGAGAAGGUGGAGCAGAGCAGUGGUGAGUUUACAACUUGAGAAAACAGCCCCCACGGCCCCCAGACAGUCCACACAUCAUUAGCGUCACUGUAGAGAGCCUAUUAAGUGCACACAUGUUAACCACAUGUACCCCAAGGAUUACAGGAAUUCACUGACACCCACUUACACAUUAGCACAGAGUUACUGAGUGCUGGGGUCGGGGUGGGGGAUCUUUUGUCAGAGAGUCACAGGGGAGACGAAUGACAGCCAGCCUUUAAGGAGUGCUGACUGUGUGCAGACACAGUGCCAGGGGCCUGUGUGCUUUCUCUCUGUCAAUGCUCAUAGCACCACCGUGCCAUGGGCUCUGACAUGAUCCCCAUUUUACAGAGGGGGACACUGAGGCUCAGAGAAGUGAGGUGGCUUGCCCAGGAUCACAGAGCUAUGUAGAUAGAGGAGCUGCGAUUCUAAUUCUGCCCCAAAGGAACUCACAGUCGGUUGGGAGAUACGUACAUCAAAAGAUCCAAAACAAUACGAGACGGGCUGACCAAGGGCAACAUCAUUUUCUUCCUCUGUCUCUCUUUCUAAGAACGUAGCACGUUUAGUUUGCAGAUCUUCACCUGAGAACGAAGGGGAAGGCCCCACUCAGGCUGUCCCACUCUAAAGUCUGCAAGUGGCCCUGUGUCACCUGAGAAGCAAGCAGCUCUGCCACCUGAGCCAGAGGACCCAGCCGAUAUCAUGGUGCUGAAGGUUUCAGUAGUGGGAAAAGUUGCCUUGUGACGUUGGUGGCAAGCUCCCGUGGGAGACUCCCCAUGAGACCCCUGGGUUCUCCAGCAAGGUCGUGCCAUCUGCAGCAGAGAACUAUGCACCAAUCAACAAAACAAAACAAACUUCCACGGGGCACCCAGUGACCAUGCAGCCAGAACUCCCCAUCGUGAGCUGGGUCUUGUCAGACCUUCCAAGUUGUAAGGUCCGGCAGGCUCAGCAUCAGUCCACUGUAAGAUGGAGACGGCACAGCCAGGACUGAGCAUGAGCCCAACUAUAAGGCACAGGAGGCUGCACAGCCCCCUCUACCAUCGUCCCGGUGCCCCACCUCAGCUCAUGCCCAUGGCCAUCUGGGCUCCUGUCCAACCAGCCAAAGGAGGAGGAGAAAGCCUGAGUUUGGGUUACAGAUGAGUCUACUUCCUAUGUAUGUGCAAACUGAAAAUGAUGGUAGCUACACUACAGCCUUGCUUGGGAGUGGCCUUGAAAAAACAAAGAAAACCCUCCAGUAAAUCUGCAGAGUUUCAGAUGGUGCAUCUCCUUGUCCCCUUUGUGCAGAAAGAGAAGUGUCCUGAAGUUAAAAUGUGUACAACGCAUAGGCAGUGGCUAAUGGCAUGGCUGACUGGUCAGGCACAUGGAAGGGAAAAGACUGGAAGGUGAGGACCGGGAGGACUGGGGUAGAGGAUAUGAGUGGACAUGCGGGAGUGGGCUAAAGUGUGAAAAUUUCUGUAUCACAUGUUAACAACCACCAGAGAGCAUCUACUACGGAAGAGGCACCAACAACCAAGUAGACGAAAUGACCUAGCCAACUGACAUCAGCCGGCCUCUGUUACUGGACACUCCGGUGCCAGCAUUAUGGGCACAGUGCAGAGAUGGAGGUUACACAUGGGCCCAAAAUCUUGAUUCCCUUUUGCAAGUCCCAUCUAGUUACUUUGUAGUUCAUCUAGGUACUUCUUCCGCUAAACCCCAACCUUCCAGGAUGCCUGGUGAAAUCAGAGGCUCAUGAGAGUGACCACCAGGGGGCACUGGUUGAACAUUUACAUCCUUUAGGGGCAAAUGACCCACCAAAGUGGAGAACCUCCAACCGGGGAAGGAUGGGGUGUUCGUCUUUUCCUAAUUACAGAGGGGCUUACGUGACUGAAAGGUGGUGGAAGCUGGUUUAUCCCAAGUCUUUCUUCAUGAAGCACCAGGGCAGUUGACACAGAGAGAAACGGAGGCACAGAGAGCUCCCCCACCCCCACUCCAGGACUCACAGAGGAUCACAGAUCAAGCCAUUGGAAGUCCUGGGAUGCGGUCUCAGGCUUAAACUGUCAUACUAGAUGUCACUGGUUUAAGAGGCCCUGGCCUCAGGGCUCAACUCUGCCUCUCUAACCAGCUAUGGGACCUUACGCCAGUCAGUUAACUUCUCUGAUCCUCUAUUUCUUCAUCUAUAAAAUGAAGAUAAUACCCACUUCUCAAGAUUGUUUUGAAGUCUGAAUUAAAACCAUCUAUAUAUGGAUGCUUUGAUAACCUUAAAACACUAAUAUGAUAUAGAAUGUUCCUUUUAAAAGCUUUAAAUUGUACUUAUUUUUUUAAACAAGAAAUAGAUGUAUGUGGACAAAGUUUGAAAAAUAAGUGACCCUCCUUCCCUUGUCCCUGGUAACCAUUUCCACUCCUGGGAGGCAGCUGGGUCACCAGUUCCUGACGGAUGGAUUCCUGACAAGAGCUCUUCAGAGCCAGGCGGCUCCCCGGACAGACCAUGAGGCCUCCCAGGAUGUGCCAGAUUCAGGCUCAUCUGACGUUAUGGAGCACUAACCACAGGCCAGGCUCUUUCACACAUAUCUUCUCUUUUAAUUACCGAAAAUAAAGCAAAACAAGAAAACCUGUGAGGUAGUGUU
rnacentral:lncRNA from 1 species